rnacentral:rRNA from 1 species
UACGUAGGGGGCAAGCGUUGUCCGGAUUUAUUGGGCGUAAAGAGCGUGUAGGCGGUCAGGUAGGUCCGUUGUGAAAACUCGAGGCUCAACCUCGAGACGCCGAUGGAAACCAUCUGACUAGAGUCCGGAAGAGGAGAGUGGAAUUCCUGGUGUAGCGGUGAAAUGCGCAGAUAUCAGGAGGAACACCGGUGGCGAAGGCGGGUCUCUGGGCAACAACUGACGCUGAGGAGCGAAAGCGUGGGGAGCGAACAGG